AGAGUUUGAUCCUGGCUUAGGAUGAACGCUGGCGGCGUGCCUAACACAUGCAAGUCGAGCGAUUCUCUUCGGAGAAGAGCGGCGGACGGGUGAGUAACGCGUGGGUAACCUGCCUCAUACACAUGGAUAACAUACCGAAAGGUAUGCUAAUACAAGAUAAUAUAGAAAUUCACAUGGAUUUCUUAUCAAAGCUCCGGCGGUAUGAGAUGGACCCGCGUCUGAUUAGCUAGUUGGUAAGGUAACGGCUUACCAAGGCGACGAUCAGUAGCCGACCUGAGAGGGUGAUCGGCCACAUUGGAACCGAGACACGGUCCAAACUCCUACGGGAGGCAGCAGUGGGGAAUAUUGCACAAUGGGCGAAAGCCUGAUGCAGCAACGCCGCGUGAGUGACGAAGGCCUUCGGGUCGUAAAACUCUGUCCUCAAGGAAGAUAAUGACGGUACUUGAGGAGGAAGCCCCGGCUAACUACGUGCCAGCAGCCGC
rnacentral:rRNA from 1 species